CCUACGGGAGGCAGCAGCGGGGAAUUUUGGACAAUGGGCGCAAGCCUGAUCCAGCAAUGCCGCGUGAGUGAAGAAGGCCUUCGGGUUGUAAAGCUCUUUUGUCAGGGAAGAAACGGUAGGAGCUAAUAUCUCUUGCUAAUGACGGUACCUGAAGAAUAAGCACCGGCUAACUACGUGCCAGCAGCCGCGGUAAUACGUAGGGUGCAAGCGUUAAUCGGAAUUACUGGGCGUAAAGCGUGCGCAGGCGGUUUUGUAAGUCUGUCGUGAAAGCCCCGGGCUCAACCUGGGAAUUGCGAUGGAGACUGCAAGGCUUGAAUCUGGCAGAGGGGGGUAGAAUUCCACGUGUAGCAGUGAAAUGCGUAGAGAUGUGGAGGAACACCGAUGGCGAAGGCAGCCCCCUGGGUCAAGAUUGACGCUCAUGCACGAAAGCGUGGGGAGCAAGCAGGAUUAGAUACCCGAGUAGUC
rnacentral:rRNA from 1 species